rnacentral:rRNA from 1 species
ACUCCUACGGGAGGCAGCAGUAGGGAAUCUUCCGCAAUGGGCGAAAGCCUGACGGAGCAACGCCGCGUGAGUGAUGAAGGUCUUCGGAUCGUAAAACUCUGUUUAUUAGGGAAGAACAUACGUGUAAGUAACUAUGCACGUCUUGACGGUACCUAAUCAGAAAGCCACGGCUAACUACGUGCCAGCAGCCGCGGUAAUACGUAGGUGGCAAGCGUUAUCCGGAAUUAUUGGGCGUAAAGCGCGCGUAGGCGGCUUUUUAAGUCUGAUGUGAAAGCCCAGC